rnacentral:rRNA from 1 species
GACGAACGCUGGCGGCGUGCUUAACACAUGCAAGUCGAACGGAAAGGCCCUGCUUUUGUGGGGUGCUCGAGUGGCGAACGGGUGAGUAACACGUGAGUAACCUGCCCUUGACUUUGGGAUAACUUCAGGAAACUGGGGCUAAUACCGGAUAGGAGCUCCUGCUGCAUGGUGGGGGUUGGAAAGUUUCGGCGGUUGGGGAUGGACUCGCGGGUUAUCAGCUUGUUGGUGGGGUAGUGGCUUACCAAGGCUUUGACGGGUAGCCGGCCUGAGAGGGUGACCGGCCACAUUGGGACUGAGAUACGGCCCAGACUCCUACGGAAGGCAGCAGUGGGGAAUAUUGCACAAUGGGCGGAAGCCUGAUGCAGCAACGCCGCGUGCGGGAUGACGGCCUUCGGGUUGUAAACCGCUUUCGCCUGUGACGAAGCGUGAGUGACGGUAAUGGGUAAAGAAGCACCGGCUAACUUCGUGCCAGCCGCCGCCGUAAAAC